ensembl:vault_RNA Vault Vault RNA
GCGCUGGUUUAGCUCAGUGGUUACUUCCUUCCUGUGUUGUUGGCCUUUGUCACAGCUCCUGGGGCUGUGGGGAUCGAACCAGGGGCGCUGUCCAGCGUUUUA